AAAAGCCCAUGAAAUUCCCUUUUUUUAUUGAGUUGACAUAGACUCAAGUAAU
rnacentral:tRNA from 1 species